GGAAGGAUCAUUAUUGAAUAAAACUUGAACAGGUUGUUGCUGGCUUAAUAGCAUGUGCACACUUGUACAUUUUUAUUAUUUCUCCAACUUGUGCAUUUAUAAAAUAUGGGGACUGCUGUCCUUUUAUUUAGUUUGGCUUUCCCUUACAAUCACAUUUAAAUGUAUAAAAUGAAUAUGUAUAUAAAUAUACAACUUUCAGCAACGGAUCUCUUGGCUCUUGCAUCGAUGAAGAACGCAGCGAAAUGCGAUAAGUAAUGUGAAUUGCAGAAUUCAGUGAAUCAUCGAAUCUUUGAACGCAUCUUGCGCUUCUUGGUAUUCCGAGAAGCAUACCUGUUUGAGUGUCAUUAAAUUCUCAAAUCACAACUUUUUGUGGCUUGGAUAGUUGGGUAAUUGCCUGUUCUAAUAGACUGGCUUACCUUAAAUAUAUAAGUGGUUAGUUUAGAAACUUAUUGGGUGUUGUAAAUAUGUUCAAUACAUCUAUGGUUCUGAAUUAUGCUAUAUAAUGAUUGAUAAUUGAUGAUUUUGACCUCAAAUCAGGUAGGAUUACCCGCUGAACUUAAGCAUAUCAAUAAGCGGAGGAAAAGAAACUAACAAGGAUUCCCUUAGUAACUGCGAGUGAAGCGGGAAAAGCUCAAAUUUAAAAUCUGGCAGCUUUUUAAGUUGUCCGAAUUGUAAUCUAGAGAAGUAUCACCUGUGUUGGACCAUGUAAAAGUCUUCUGGAAUGGAGCAUCAUAGAGGGUGAGAAUCCCGUCUUUGACAUGGACUACUAGCAUGUUAAGGUGCACUCUCAAAGAGUCGAGUUGUUUGGGAAUGCAGCUCAAAAUGGGUGGUAAAUGCCAUCUAAAGCUAAAUAUUGGCAAGAGACCGAUAGUGAACAAGUACCGUGAGGGAAAGAUGAAAAGAACUUUGGAAAGAGAGUUAAACAGUACGUGAAAUUGCUGAAAGGGAAACGCUUGAAGUCAGUCACAUUAGCUAGAAAUCAGGCUUGCUUUUGCAAAGUGUACUUUCUAGUUGAUGGGUCAGUAUCAAUUUUGAUUGUUGGAUAAAGUCAUUAGAAAUGUGGCAUCUUUUUGGAUGUGUUAUAGUCUAGUGUUGAAUACAGCAAUUGGGAUUGAGGAAUUCAGCAUGCCUCUAGAGGCCAGGUUUCGACCAUGUUCAUGCUUAGGAUACUGGCAUAAUGGCUUUAAUCGACCCGUCUUGAAACACGGACCAAGGAGUCUAACAUGCCUGCAAGUAUUUGGGUGAAAAACCCAUAUGCAUAAUGAAAGUGAAAGUUGAGAUCCUUUUGGGAGCAUUGACGCCCAGACCAGACCUUUUGUGACGGAUCUGCGGUAGAGCAUGUAUGUUGGGACCCGAAAGAUGGUGAACUAUGCCUGAAUAGGGUGAAGCCAGAGGAAACUCUGGUGGAGGCUCGUAGCGAUUCUGACGUGCAAAUCGAUCGUCAAAUUUGGGUAUAGGGGCGAAAGACUAAUCGAACCAUCUAGUAGCUGGUUCCUGC
rnacentral:misc_RNA from 1 species